ACCUGACUGCUAUCGGAUUGAUACUAAGCCAUGCGAGUCAUUGUAGUAAUACAAGGCAGACGGCUCAGUAACGCGUAGUCAACCUAACCUAUGGACGGGAAUAACCUCGGGAAACUGAGUAUAAUGCCCGAUAGAACAUUAUGCCUGGAAUGGUUUAUGUUCCAAAUGAUUUAUCGCCGUAGGAUGGGACUGCGGCCUAUCAGUUUGUUGGUGAGGUAAUGGCCCACCAAGACUAUUACAGGUACGGGCUCUGAGAGGAGUGGCCCGGAGAUGGGUACUGAGACACGGACCCAGGCCCUAUGGGGCGCAGCAGGCGAGAAAACUUUGCAAUGUGCGAAAGCACGACAAGGUUAAUCCGAGUGGUUUCUGCUAAAGGAACCUUUUGUCGGUCCUAGAAACACCGAUGAAUAAGGGGUGGGCAAGUUCUGGUGUCAGCCGCCGCGGUAAAACCAGCACCUCAAGUGGUCAGGAUGAUUAUUGGGCCUAAAGCAUCCGUAGCCGGCUCUGUAAGUUUUCGGUUAAAUCUGUACGCUUAACGUACAGGCUGCCGGGAAUACUGCAGAGCUAGGGAGUGGGAGAGGUAGACGGUACUCGGUAGGAAGGGGUAAAAUCCUUUGAUCUAUUGAUGACCACCUGUGGCGAAGGCGGUCUACCAGAACACGUCCGACGGUGAGGGAUGAAAGCUGGGGGAGCAAACCGGAUUAGAUACCCGGGUAGUCCCAGCUGUAAACUAUGCAAACUCAGUGAUGCAUUGGCUUGUGGCCAAUGCAGUGCUGCAGGGAAGCCGUUAAGUUUGCCGCCUGGGAAGUACGUACGCAAGUAUGAAACUUAAAGGAAUUGGCGGGGGAGCACCACAAGGGGUGAAGCCUGCGGUUC
rnacentral:rRNA from 2 species